AUCAGCCUACGGGGGGCAGCAGUAGGGAAUCUUCCACAAUGGACGAAAGUCUGAUGGAGCAACGCCGCGUGAGUGAAGAAGGGUUUCGGCUCGUAAAGCUCUGUUGGUAGUGAAGAAAGAUAGAGGUAGUAACUGGCCUUUAUUUGACGGUAAUUACUUAGAAAGUCACGGCUAACUACGUGCCAGCAGCCGCGGUAAUACGUAGGGUGCAAGCGUUAUCCGGAUUUAUUGGGCGUAAAGGGCUCGUAGGCGGUUC
rnacentral:rRNA from 1 species